CGGGGUGUAGCGCAGCUUGGUAGCGCAUCCGCUUUGGGAGCGGAAGGCCGCAGUUUCAAAUCCUGUCACCCCGACCA
rnacentral:tRNA from 1 species